UGUGGAAACUUCUUGGCAGAGCUAGAGUCAACAGACCUCUUUCCGUGACCCCAGCAACUAGCCGGAACUACUUUCUGCAACACCGAAACCGGGCCAGAACUCCGCUCACGGGACGCAGUGGGGGAAAAGUCACUGCUGAUGCCCGACACUGAUGAUUACCCGCUCUGCAUUAGUUGGAGGGACCAGGCUGAAAAUAUGAUCCGAUGAGAGGAGUGGCGGGGUACCAAGAAAAGAAAAAGCUAAGAGUUAGAAGGACAAAUGAGUUGAAUCUUUAAAGCUACUAUGCUAUUAUUGUCAGUUAAUGUUGAACUGGGGUCCUAUUUAUAAUGUUUGUGUCCCCUGGAGUUUCAGGGCAAAGGUAGCCAGAUAAUUUAUUAAGAUGUUUGUUCAUGUUGAACUGUGGUCCUAUUUCUGAAUGACAUUUGCCAUUUUUGUGUCCCCUGGAGUUUCAGGGCAAAUAGAUAAUUCUCCACCUAAGCCAGGCAGGAAACCUUACAAGAUGAAAAGUACAACAGUGUAAUUGCUUUUGAAUAUUUAAUAACUAACUUAUUGAAUAAUGCUCUGUUUUGUUGGGGUUUUUUUUGUUCAUAGAGAAUGCAGUAAAGCAGCUUUUCUCAACCUUGGUUUCUUAAAAAUAAUUGAAAUAGCCAAUCUAAUGGGGUUUUUAAUGAGGCAUAUUAAAAACAUAGAAAGGAAGGUUGAAAAGUGUUGAAAUGGCCCUUUAAUAAUAACCUUGUUUCACAGUAUAAUGCAAUGCAUAUAUAUAGUUGAAUCAAUGUUUAUUCAUUGUCAGAAUUGAUUGGAUUUUGACGUUAUUUCAAUCAUAGCGAGCACUUUCAAUGUAUAUUUCAAUAUCUGACAUCAAUGUUGAUUACAACCUUCAGCCUGACAAAAUCUCAAUGUUGAUUCAAUCACGUUUUGCUAUUCCAACAUGUUCCUUUGUGUUUCAGUUAAACACUUCAAAUGAACAAGUUCGUGUUUAAAGGUAUCCUUGGAUCCCAACAUAAUGAAUCAGUCUGGAUGAUGGUAGUUUGGUGAUUCUACCAAUCAAUAGUGCAGUAAUUCUGGGUUCAUAUUUACAAUUUAAAGAAUCAUCACAUCAUUGUGUCAUCUGCGAACAGAUUUUUCAUCACGUCUUUAUAUUAUAUAGAGCUGUCAAUAAAAUCAGAACAGUUUGAAUUAAAUCUGCAAAAACUCUAAAGCUAAAGUUUAAGAUGCACUUUGACCUACCAUAAUCGUAAUAUCAGGUCAGUGGGUGUUUUGGGUCUCUCAACGUCAAACCUUCACCCAGGUGUCCCAGGAAGGUUUGAUCAGCUGUUCAUAGUUGUUCAUUGUGUUGAAGACCAUAGACUCUUUCCAAUCCCCUUAAUGACUGUUCCUUGAUCAUGACCCAGGAACCAAUCUGGUCCACCAUCACAAAGGAAAACCUCUUAUUUCUGCUCGAGGAGAGAGGAAGCUUUCUAAUUUCUAAUUAUUAAUGUUUAUUUUCAUAGCAAUGAAUAUAUAUGGAAAAGUCUCCAUUUCCUGGUGAAUCCACACAUUAUGGUUUGAUCUGUCAAAUACACAAUACAUGCAGAGAUAUAAUAUUUCAUACUCUGUGCUGUCAUGUGGCAGAGGUUCUCCAUGUAUUUCAGCAGUGAGCAGUAAAGAUUGUGGCUGACCCCCCCACCCCGGACACAAACCUCUUCCAGCAGAAGGCUGCAGUCCAUCAGGACCAAACCCUCACAGCACAAGAAGACUCAAUGUGUUCUAUUAAAGCACAUUUGCUGUCUCACAUGUUCUUCACACUGUGAACAUUUCCAUCCUCUUUGCCUCAAACACUGUACAGCUCUUUUAAAACUUUAUGUUUAUUGUACAUUUCUGUUUUAUAUGUGUGGUAUCCGAAGGCCUAUAAAUUUAAGUUACAGUUUGUUAUAAGUUCAAGUGAUAUUUUUGUCAACAUAUGCAGUGUUAGUAAGACAUGAGGUUCAACGUCGUAAUUCUUACUAUGAAAUGUUUAGGUUAGGAGCCCCUUCGAAGCCCCUUGAACCUUUACCUUCUGACGUAAAUAUUUCAGUACAUCUGAUAGCCAAACCAGAUGUUUCUUUACUAUUUUGUUGAAUAAACAAUAUACCUAUAUAAAGCCUAUGUUCGACGCAUAUAGACAGAGUUGUUCAUUUGGCUGGAUGCUCUCCAAGCUCCCGCGGUGCUUGUAUUGAUGCUGAACUUUUUGUAAUAAACCUUUAUAUACAAUCAA